CCUUCAUCACACUUAAGAGAGCUGAACCUGGGCUACAAUAAUCCAGAAGUCUCAGGAGUGAAGCAGAUCUCUGAUCUACUGAAAGAUCCACACUGCACACUGGAGACACUCAAUUUAUCUGAGUGUGGGGUGACAGCUGCAGGUUUUUGUGAUCUGGCUUCAGCUCUUAGAUCAAAUCCUUCAUCACACUUAAGAGAGCUGAACCUGGGCUACAAUAAUCCAGAAGUCUCAGGAGUGAAGCAGAUCUCUGAUCUACUGAAAGAUCCACACUGCACACUGGAGACACUCAAUGUAUCUUACUGUGAGCUGACAGAGCUGGAGCCAGAUCACAAAACUCUUCAUCACACUUAAGAGAGCUGAACCUGAGCUGGAAUAAUCCAGUCGUCUCAGGAGUGAAGCAGAUCUCUGAUCUACUGAAAGAUCCACAAUGUACACUGGGGACACCCAAGAAUGCACCCGAGAAAACAGCUGCAGGUUUUCGUCAUAGAUAUGUACACUACAGGAACGACAAAUAGAGCUGCCAUCUUGAAACAGGGGAAUCCCGCAUCAGCGUCAUUGUAGGCAAUGGUGUAACGGAAAUAAAAUCACCAUAAAUCGUCAUGAAUGCGAUUUUUUUUUGGUUUUCUUUUGGUUCGUUUCAACAGCCAGACAUGUAUUUAGCAUUGAGUCCAGAAAAACAUUAAAGUUUUAAAAUGUUGAAAAUCUACUAUUUCUAACCAUAAACCGGAAGUAUCACCCAAGGGCAAGCAUCUGUAUGUCCGUAUAUGUUUUAAAGAACGUUCUGAAUCUGAUCUCUAUCAAAAGUCCUUCACAAAAAUGCAAUCAUCUCAGCUUUUUGCUCGAAAUGUGGUGUUUUUUAAGAAACAUACCCAUAUUUGAGAGAUGAUAAAAGGAGAACAAAUGAAGGUAGGAUGAAACGUUUUUUUGAAAGCAGAGGGUCUGUUUUUUUCAUUUGAUAUAUUGUAUGUUUAUAUAUUUAAAGAAGAACAUUUUCUGAAAGGCAUUAAACUUUAGUGAAAAUCAUAAAAAAAUGCUGGUGUUGGCUGUCAACAUUUAUAAAAACACUGAUGUGGAAAGAUUUAAUACUCGAAAGUUUAUAUAAACAGCCAUCUGCUUUUCUCCUGUGACAUUUAAACCUCAUUCACACAGACAUUUGGUCCCAGAAAAUACCCAUAAAUUUGAAGACAAGCUUCUGUGUGAACAUAAAUGUUCAGGGAUUGUUCCCGGAAAGAGGACCUAGUAACAUGCCGUAAGAUACCCAUAAAGCCCUCAGUGUGAACAAGUUGCAGAAACAAUGCGGUAAGGGGCGUGUCGUAGUCAGGACGCGUGUGUCAUGGCAACAUGAAGUUAUGGUUCAGCUCUUUAAAACUAGAGGUUUACAUGCACAUUAACAAUCACGAUGAGAAAUGUCUGCAAACUGGACUGAAGGGAGCUUGUCAAAUAUCCAAAGCUGAGAUCAUUCACCAGCACACUAGAAUGGCAUGCCACAUGCUUCUUUAUAGUCUUAUCAUAAACAAAAGUGCAUGCGAGUGGUUUCUGGAGAGAGAAUUGAAGGGAUAGGGCGUUUUCACAUCUGUAAUUCAGUUCAUUUGGUCCAGACCAAAAGCAAAAAAUUAUACAUUGUAACUUUUUUAGCAGAUUUGGUUCCAUUUCACACCACACUGAUUGCUCUGAUCCGCACCAAUUGAAACGAACCAAAAUUCUGUCAUGUGAUAAGAUCAACAUCACUCAUUGGCCACAUGUAUUUGAACGUAUUUCCUAAACGGCUUCACAAUUGGUCAGAAUCAACGUGUGGUAAAUUCCAACGGAACCCCCGGAAGUAAACAAAAAAAGGAUAAUACAGCAGACACCAUGGACAGACGGCUGCGCGCUGUAAUUAUGUCUCCGUGGUUGUUAUACAUAGUUUGUAUACAGCACUCUAGACAAACUGUUCAUUUUCAGAUUGAAUCGCGGAUGCGGCUUGAAAACAACGGUUUAAUGCACUACAAACGGCGAAGACAAAAAAUUUCUGCGAUUUGUCAAUGUGCUAAUAUUGCUAAUAGAAACGGUCAACAAACACUUCCUCAUCCGAUAAUGCACUGCGCAGUUGACUACGGCAGCUGGUUUAGUCCAAAAUGCGCAGUACUUUUGCAGUUAGGUCGGUUCGAUCUCGGAUUGUGUUCUCACCACAAACGAACCGCUCUAGAGUUCGUUUGAAAGCGUACCGAGACCACCCCUGCAAGCUGGUCUCCGUCCGCUUGUUUGGUCCGCUUUUGGUGCGCACCAGAGUUCGAUUGCUGCAUUCUCACCUGCCCAAACGAACUGCACCAACUGAGCAAUCGAACUCUGGUACGAUUCAAUCGGACUAAACAAGGCAGGUGUGAAAACCCCCCAUAGUUCACCCUAAAAUGAAAAUUCUGUCAUCAAACUACCAAGUGCAGGACUUUACAUCACGUGUCUUUCUGUGAACGCACACACAGAUUCCGGCAAAUCACUGUCAGUGUGAAUGAGCUAAAAAUCAAACGAUUCCUGACAAAUCCCACAUGCAUUUCCUGUGUAUUUUCCUUAAUGUCUGUGUGAAAAAGGCUUAAGUCAGUGUUUCUCCUCUUUUAUUCUAACUCAACUCAUUUUAUUGUAUUCAGUUUAGUGCGGAGUCUUGAGACCAAACUCCUCAGCAAACCAAAUGCUUUUUUAAACAUGAUUUAUUUCAUAGUUUGGUUGUUAGAUUUCAUGAAAUGGUGUCUUUUGUGUAAAAGUAGAUUUGUUUCACUUGGUGUCACUACAAACAUCACAAAUUAUAAAUAUUUUUGAUAAAAACAAGAUGUCUUCAUAUGUCUACAAUUAAUCUGUUUUGUUUCCAUUAAAAAUAAACAUA